GAUGAACGCUAGCGGGAGGCCUAACACAUGCAAGCCGAGCGGUAUUGUUUCUUCGGAAAUGAGAGAGCGGCGUACGGGUGCGUAACACGUGUGCACCCUGCCUUUAUCUGGGGGAUAGCCUUUCGAAAGGAAGAUUAAUACUCCAUAAUAUAUUGAACGGCAUCGUUUAAUAUUGAAAGCUCCGGCGGAUAGAGAUGGGCACGCGCAAGAUUAGCUAGUUGGUGAGGUAACGGCUCACCAAGGCGAUGAUCUUUAGGGGGCCUGAGAGGGUGAUCCCCCACACUGGUACUGAGACACGGACCAGACUCCUACGGGAGGCAGCAGUGAGGAAUAUUGGUCAAUGGGUGCAAGCCUGAACCAGCCAUCCCGCGUGAAGGACGACUGCCCUAUGGGUUGUAAACUUCUUUUGUAUAGGGAUAAACCUACCCUCGAGAGGGUAGCUGAAGGUACUAUACGAAUAAGCACCGGCUAACUCCGUG
rnacentral:rRNA from 1 species